AUCGCUUCUCGGCCUUUUGGCUAAGAUCAAGUGUAGUUUCUGUUCUUAUCAGUUUAAUAUCUGAUAGGUCCUCUAUCCGAGGACAAAAAAAAAAAAAACACAAAGAGCUAAGUAUUAUAAGUGUUUUGGAUUUCUAACUCUUCUUCCUUAAUUCACAUUAUUACAAUGUCCAAAAGAUAUCCAU